GACGAACGCUGGCGGCGUGCUUAACACAUGCAAGUCGAACGCUGAAGCUUGGUGCUUGCACUGGGUGGAUGAGUGGCGAACGGGUGAGUAAUACGUGAGUAACCUGCCCUUGACUCUGGGAUAAGCCUGGGAAACUGGGUCUAAUACUGGAUAUGACAUGCCACUGCAUGGUGGUGUGUGGAAAGGGUUUUACUGGUUUUGGAUGGGCUCACGGCCUAUCAGCUUGUUGGUGGGGUAAUGGCCUACCAAGGCGACGACGGGUAGCCGGCCUGAGAGGGUGACCGGCCACACUGGGACUGAGACACGGCCCAGACUCCUACGGGAGGCAGCAGUGGGGAAUAUUGCACAAUGGGCGGAAGCCUGAUGCAGCGACGCCGCGUGAGGGAUGACGGCCUUCGGGUUGUAAACCUCUUUCAGCAGGGAAGAAGCGAAAGUGACGGUACCUGCAGAAGAAGCACCGGCUAACUACGUG
rnacentral:rRNA from 1 species